CAGAGCUCAACACUUUAUUUGCUCCCUGUCAUUCAAUGCUAAUAAUACCAAUAUUCAGUGAAAAAUACUGGAGCUUAAAGGUCAGAUCACUUGUCCAGAGUCACAGAACAGAAGCCCAAGUAAUCUGGUAUAACAGCCAGGCUUUUUUUCUACUACAACAUUCUUCAUCCUGUAUGACAUUUUGAAAUCUGGAAUUAGAAGAGUGGAGUUCAUGUGUCGCCUGAAAUGAUCCUCAUGCUUUCCCAAGCAGAGUAUUUGUUGAAUUUACAUCUUAACUGGGUUAUGAAAUACUGACAAAUUUCAUGUUGAAUUUACAUUUCACAGUAGCUCUAACAUGAAACCUGUAACAUUUAUGUCAGAUUAUCUUUAUGGUCCCCCGUAAAGGCCUGGUUCCUUUUUAUUUUUAUGUUUGGAACUUCUUUCUUAUAAAACAUUUUAUAACAAAAUAAUAAAAAUGUUAUAAUGAAAUUCACAUUUUAGAAGGGUACCAUUGGAUGACUUUUUGACAAAUAUUCAUGUUAUUUCACUUGCUUUUGCCUCAUAAUCCUUAAACCUCUGUGUUAAACAACAUUUCUUUUGACCUGGCAUUCAAUCCACAAUUUUCUCACCAUACUCUGGUUUCAACUUUUUCUGUAAAGAAUCAAUUAGUAAAUAUUUUAGGUUUCCGGGACAUAUGGUGUCUGAUACAACUACUUAACUCUGCCAUUAUAGUGGGAAAAUAGCCAUAGAGAAAAUGAAAGUAAAUGAGCAUGACUGUUUUCCAAUAAAGUAUUAUUUAUGGACACUCAAAUUUUAACUUUAUAUUUCUAUGUCAUGAAAUAGUAUUCUUUGGAUUUUUCCAAUGUUUUAAAAAUGUAAAAUUCAUUUUUAGCUCCAAGGCUAUACAAAAACUGAUGGCAGCAUAGAUUUGAUCAGCAGGCCUUGGUUUGUUGAUCUCUGCUAUAAAAGAUAAUAAAAUCACAGAAUUUCAGAAAAAGGUCUGGAGAGUAUCUCAUCUAAUGUAUUUUUUUUUUUUUUUUUUUUUUAGCCAUAAAGGUGACUGAAGCUCAAAAAUAAAGGACCUAAGUGGUUUAAAAAAUGUCAUAUGGCAUGUCAGAGCAUCUGUCCUGGUCAGCUGGUAGUGGUUGCCUGGAGGAUUGUGUUGGGAUAGGACUAUGAAGUCCAAUCUGAGUCUCAUGGGAUGAAAGUCAUGUUGUGAUUGAUUGAAGAUGUCUGCUUAGUAUGCUACAAUGGAACCAUACCAAGGGAGUAUUUAAUGUUUGCAAAUUCACAUUUUUGUGCUCUGCUAAGGAACAGAUUGGUGGAUAGGAAGGAUCUGAGAAACAGAAAUCAAGAUUGUGUGAAUGGCAGCUUGGAAAUGAAAAAGAGAACAAAUGAAUGAGCAAUUAAAAUAUUGCAGACUCUUCCGAUUGCCAUUUCAUGCAAUGAAUACAUGCCUCUAAGUGAGUGUGAGAACCUUGAUAGAAUUUCCUGUUCUCUCAGUCAGGAGCAUAUCUCCAUACAGAGUAUGAUUCUAGGCUUUAAAGCUACUUUUCUUUUCUUUCUUUCUUUCUUUUUUUCCAAUGCAACAUGUCCCAGAAGCAAGCUACCUACAUUAGUUUGCAGUGUUCAAUUAGGGUGGGGGAAACACAGUAUGUUUCAAUAGGGGAGGCAAAUUUGGCAAUAUUGAAUGUUUUAAAACAUGUUUAUUAGGUUUUCAUAUGCAGUUUUCCUCAAGGCAAUUUUGACUUGAUGCACUUUCAUCUAUAUUAUGUACUUACAAACCACCCCCUUGAAAGGUGUAUCUCUACGGUACAUCAUAAAUGUGAUAUCCUCUAACAAGCCCAAGGUAACAUCAGGCAUUAAAUACUCAACGUUAACUUUAAUUAGUACCCUCACCUGCAAGAGUGCAAGUGAUUGAAGAUUGCAGCAAAUGCUUAUCCCAUUCCUUUAAGUCCCCAGAAUGACUGUCUAGACCAAUGUCCUUACUCAUUCCUUAUUCUUCUGAGGCUUUGCUAACUGGAGUACAGGAGCAGUCAGCAGGCCCAGAGGUAUGUUUUACCUUUCUGAUAACUUUAUUGGAUGAUCAAACCACUGGUUUACCUUGGCCAUUUGAAUGUCUGUACUAAGUGCUCACUCUGCUAGCCACCCUACAGAAAGAAAGGGAUCAGGCCAAUAGGAGUUCAAACAAUGACCCAUAACUCUAGCAUUAUAAGCUCAGGCCCUAAACUAGGGUCAUUCUCAGUCUAGGUCUAGUUGUCAGCUCAUAACUAUACUAGUCACAACUUAUGCGUUCAUGUGUUAUACCUGCCUGUUUUUGCUUCUAAGGGGAUUUUGUUAUCAAACAAAGAUGGAACAUGGACACAGGCAGAUAAGAAUUCUAAAUAUAAUCCCUUUCUUGCCUUCAGAAAUUUCUGUAAAGCCUUUGAAGAAUGCAAAAGUGGCUUAUUUUGAGUAAAAACUGGAAUAUUAAUCAGGAAUUAGAUACCUGGCUUGUAUUUCAGAUUCUGCCUUGGAUUGCUGGUCAUAUUCAACACCUUCUUUAUCUGCGGCAUAAAGAGACUACUGUGUCUGUCUUUUUUGGCACAAAAGUGAUGAAGAUAAAUGAUAUAUUGUGCUUCAGUAUAAUUCCUUUGUUAAUUAUAAUAUUAUAUAAACAUUGUGAUAAUAAACAUUUUGCUCUACCAUAAUUAUUAUCUGUGGGUUUAUGACAGAUAAGCUUAUUUUCCUCAAUUCGUUUUAAUUUAACAGCAGACACC
rnacentral:lncRNA from 1 species